rnacentral:lncRNA from 10 species
AGUGAUUCUCCUGCCUCAGCCUCCUAAGUAGCUGGGAUUACAGGCGCGCGCUACCACACCCGGCUAAUUUUUGUAUUUUUAGUAGAGAUGGGGUUUCACCAUGUUGGCCAGGCUGGUCUCAAACUCCCGAACUCAAAAGUGAUCCGCGCUCUUCGGCCUCCCAAAGUGCUGGCAUUACAGGCCUGAGCCACCGCGCCUGGCCUGCAAUUUUAAAUAGAGCCGUCAGCAUGGGCCUCAUUUAUAAAAUGACUUUAAAUCGGAGACCUGAAAGAGCUGAGGGAGUCAGCCAUGCAGUUGUCUGGGGAAGAGUGUCCCAGGCAGAAGGAACAGCUAGCUGGUGGAAAGGCCUGGAGACAAAAGCCUCGGGAAGUGUUAAAAAUAAUGAGAAGGCCAGGACGGUUGGAGCCGUGAGCAAAUGGGAGCCUAAUGAGGAGAUAAGAUCAGAGAGAGGGGUCUCAAGUAGGGAGCUGUAGGAAUCUUGGCUGAAACAGAACCACUGCUGGGCUUUGAACAGAGGAGUGAUAGGAUCUGACUCGUGCUUUCAAAAGAUCACUCUGGCCGCCGUGCUAAGAGCAGAACUAAGAGGACAAUGGUGGAAGCCAGAGGCUCCAUUACCCAGGUACAGAAUGAUGGCUUGAACUAGAUAGUAGCAAUGAGUAAGAUAAAUAAGAUGCAGUCUCAGCCGGGCACAGUGGCGCUUGACUGUAAUCCCAGUUAUUAAGGAGGCUGAGGCAGGAGGAUAGGAUCACUUGAGCCCAGGAGUUCAAGUGCAGCCCGGGCAACACAGCAAGCCCCCAUCUCUAAAAAAUAAAUAACGUACAGUCUGUCUAUGGUCUCCCAACACUUAGGCAGAGGCGGAAGAUUGCGUGAGCACAAGAGUUCAAGACUAGCCUGGGCAACAUAAGGAGACUGUCUCUACAAAAAUAAAAAAAUUAGCCGGCAGGGUGGUGUGCAUCCUUGGUCCCAGCUAUGUGGGAGGCUGAGAUGGGAGGAUUGGGCCCAAGAGGUCAAGGCUGCAGUGAGUUGUGACUGCGCCACUGCACUCCAGCCUGGGUAACAGAGUGAGACCCUGUCUUUAAAAAAAAAAAAAGAGAGAGAAACUAGACUUAGCUCCAAGUCUGGAGCUUUUGGGGUUUUCUUCCUUUAUAAAAAUUUUUUAACUUUAUAGAAAUGGGAUCUCACUAUGUUGCUCAGACUUGUCUUGAACUCCUGUUUAGCACCACCUCUUACAAGUGUUGGGCAGCUCCGCUUCUCUCACUUGUCUGGAAUUCUAA